rnacentral:lncRNA from 1 species
UGCAUUUAGUAACCCACCGCCCCCUGUCUGUCUCCAUUUUCAUUGAGACAUCCAAAAGUAUUAUUUAGUCACAGUUGUCAUUCAUAACACCUGCCAGGUGGUUCCGACAUAAAGUAAGAAAGGCUUUCACAAACGAAACAACCGAGAGCAUCGACCAAAACCGACUAAUCAAAGAAAUUCAAAAUACUAGAUUCUUAUACGCACAUACCGUAAUUACCUACAAAUACGGUACGGCUAGUCCAUGACGCCGCGGCCACCUCACACGGCCGCAGCCUUAACGAGAUGCUUCUCGCGGGCCCCGAUCUGCUGCAGUCGCUGCCCGGCGUCAUCAUGCGUUUCCGUCAACACGGCGUGGCAGUAUCGGCAGAUGUAAAGGAAAUGUUCAUGCAGAUAAAGAUAAGAGACUAACUUUCGCAUUUCACACAGGUGCAGGCGCUAAUUAAUCACUGUUUGUUUGCAGGGUCAAUACUGAGGCGUGGAAUGAGGAAGAAUCGCAGUAACUCAAGCUGAGCGGUCGCUAGGGUCGCUAGGGUCAAUACUGAGGCGUGGAAUGAGGAAGAAUCGCAGUAACUCAAGCUGAGCGGUCGCUAGGCGCAGGCGCUAAACCGAGCUGAGUACGACGCGUGGGUGGCGCCUACCGGCUGCGACUCAACUAAACAGAACCCGUCGCAUGGGUCAAUACUGAGGCGUGGAAUGAGGAAGAAUCGCAGUAACUCAAGCUGAGCGGUCGCUAGGGUCGCUAGGCGCAGGCGCUAAACCGAGCUGAGUACGACGCGUGGGUGGCGCCUACCGGCUGCAACUCAACUAAACAGAACCCGUCGCAUGGGUCAAUACUGAGGCGUGGAAUGAGGAAGAAUCGCAGUAACUCAAGCUGAGCGGUCGGUAGGGUCGCUAGGCGCAGGCGCUAAACUGAGCUGAGUACGACGCGUGGGUGGCGCCUACCGGCUGCAACUCAACUAAACAGAACCCGUCGCAUGGGUCGAUACUGAGGCGUGGAAUGAGGAAGAAUCGCAGUAACUCAAGCUGAGCGGUCGCUAGGGUCGCUAGGGUCAAUACUGAGGCGUGGAAUGAGGAAGAAUCGCAGUAACUCAGCCGAGCGGUCGCUAGGGUCGCUAGAUGCAGUAGAACGAAGAAGUAGCUGGCAACUUGAAUGCAAGUGUGCAUUAGAUGGCGCCACCAUAGCUUUGCCCGGACAAGAGUUUUGCUCUAUGAGAUUUGACUUCUAAUAUUAAAAUACUUGGACCGAUUCAGGGAGAAGAACGCGCUUUAUCAGCACACUCACGCUCCUUUGAAAGCAAAAGCAUAAUAUUAUUGUUAAUGUAUUUUUUUCUAGUAUGUAACUUGUAACGUAAUGUAACGUGUGUUGUCAUGUAACUACUGAAUUUUUGAUUGACAAAUAAGUUAUCAGUUAGUUAGUUGUAUUAGGUAAUUAAUUUAAUUGAAAUUGUGCACACAUGCUCCCGCAAUUUGGCAAUAUCAACAACGUUUAUUAAAGUUUUUCGAAUGCAUAUCGCAAAUGUCAGAAUAUUCUGUUCAUAAAAGUUAUGGAUUGUCAUGCCUUUUUCCAAUGACCCUUAUUUAGGGUAAAGUAACACCAAACAAAGUAUUUGUGAGACAGUUUAACCUUUUGGCCGCCAGAGACUUAAACGGAAAAUCGUGACCACGACGCCACUUUUAUGUUAGCAUAAUUUCUUUACCCAUCCUUAAUUUACCCCCGUGGCGUCAGUGGCACGGUUUUCCGUUGACGUCAUUUGCUGUAUUUGGCGUUCAAAAGGUUAAAAACAUAAAAUUUACCAUAAAUUAAGACCCAUAAAAUUGUAAACAUCUGCGGCGAUUUAUGAUGAUUGUGUUAACUAAACGUAACAUAAGCAUUUGUAAAUGUAAUCAAUUUUAGCAUAUUACUUACCAAAACUCACCUGUGCUAUUCCAUUUCCCUGUUAUCCCCAAUCGUGCUGGUAGCAGCGAAGUGCAAUGCUUUCUACCUUUCCCCAAAAUCUCAGUCCUGCGAGUGCGAGGUGCAAAAUGUAAGUAUUUAUCAAAAAGGGACGGCUGUUUCGCAGGCUAGAUAAUGUUUCCUCCUCUCUUGUACUAGGCCGACUAGUACUCCGAUGCGCCUAUCUCCUCCUUCCUUAUAUCCGUAGCUAGUUAUCAGAAAAAUAAAAAAUAAAUCAUCCGUUUGUUUUUCUUAUGCAACAGGCGUUUAAAGGAGGUCAAAAAAGACAAGUGGCGUGGGUAACAAUUUGAGGCGAAGUAUUUUUUGACUCAGUUAAACACC